UACGUAGGGGGCAAGCGUUGUCCGGAUUUAGUGGGAGUAAAGGGUGCGUAGGCGGUAUUUUAAGUUAGAUGUGAAAUCCCCGGGCUUAACCUGGGAACUGCGUUUGAAACUGGAAGGCUUGAGUGUGGCAGAGGGGGGUGGAAUUCCACGUGUAGCAGUGAAAUGCGUAGAUAUGUGGAGGAACACCGAUGGCGAAGGCAGCCCCCUGGGCUAACACUGACGCUCAUGCACGAAAGCGUGGGGAGCAAACAGG
rnacentral:rRNA from 1 species